AUGAACGCUGGCGGCGUGCCUAAUACAUGCAAGUCGAGCGAACAGACGAGGAGCUUGCUCCUCUGACGUUAGCGGCGGACGGGUGAGUAACACGUGGAUAACCUACCUAUAAGACUGGGAUAACUUCGGGAAACCGGAGCUAAUACCGGAUAAUAUAUUGAACCGCAUGGUUCAAUAGUGAAAGACGGUUUUGCUGUCACUUAUAGAUGGAUCCGCGCCGCAUUAGCUAGUUGGUAAGGUAACGGCUUACCAAGGCAACGAUGCGUAGCCGACCUGAGAGGGUGAUCGGCCACACUGGAACUGAGACACGGUCCAGACUCCUACGGGAGGCAGCAGUAGGGAAUCUUCCGCAAUGGGCGAAAGCCUGACGGAGCAACGCCGCGUGAGUGAUGAAGGUCUUCGGAUCGUAAAACUCUGUUAUUAGGGAAGAACAAAUGUGUAAGUAACUGUGCACGUCUUGACGGUACCUAAUCAGAAAGCCACGGCUAACUACGUG
rnacentral:rRNA from 1 species